CACCAUACUGCCAUCCUAAACACCAUUCCAUACUUUUACACCAUCCAUAAACCCAAAAACUCACCACCAACCCUUGUGCCGCAGCAAAGAGGAAGGAGGAAAGCCCUUGGACGUGCUUGUCAUUCGAUUGAGGAUUGCUGGAACGUUUUAGGUGUAAUCUUUCUUUUGUUUUCAAUGUUUCAAUUCAAUAAUCUUUGUUUUGUGAGUAUGAGGAACUAAACCCCUCUUAGUUAGGGGGUGAUUCGAAACCAUGUUCAUGCUUGCAAUAUGAUUUGAUUACAUCCAGUUGUGUUUUGUAAGUUGUGAAUUCAAUUUACUUAUCCGUUCGUAUAAAAACUGAUUUGUGUAUGUAGGUUGAGAGUGCACGCUUAAUUUUCAUGCAUGAAUUUGACGCUAGAAUAUAAGGGAGUUUCACCUAAUCGUUAUGAACUUAUAUUCACAAGUAGUGAAGGUUGCUAGUCACAAUCGCUUUAAGUAAAUUCUUGGCAUAAGUUUCUUGCAAUUCAUAGUAACGAGUGCUUCGUCAAUGCUUAUGAUUUUCAUAGAACUUAAUGAUUCUUACUUGUAUCUCUAUUAUGCAAUUCAUGUAGGGAACUUGUGGGGAAUGCUUUGGGUUGUUGUAUGCAAUCAUCCAACUCAAUAACUUUUGGAAAAUCUGAGGGUUAAUUAGUGCAAUUCACGGUUAAUCUGGGGCAUUGAGAAUUCAUAGCUUAUUGAAAAGCAACUGGAAAUCGUUUUGUAUGCAAGUGUGUCAUGUGUGGAGAAGAACCUCCUAGCUAUCCUUUUAUACAUAGUUUUAUUUAAAUUCGUUCAAACUUUGCUUAGUUUAAAAUCUGUUUUGUUUUGUUUUCAAAUUCGUCAAAACCAAAUCCCCAUUAUUUUAAAGUGUUAGACUCGUUAGAAAUCAAUUUAGUUUGUGUUUUUAAGUGUUUUGAUUUAAGUUAUAACCCAAAUUCGUCCAAGUUUGUUUUAGAGUUCAAAACUGCCCAGAAAGUGUUUUUAAGGCAGUUUUGAGAGUUUUUGUGCUGUUUUGAGUCUGUUGGUUUGUUUUAGUGUUUUUAGACUUUGUUUACAUAUUUGAGUCAGUUUAGAGUGUUUAGCAAUCCCUCCUAAUCCCCGGUUUAAGAACGAUCCCUACUUAUCCAUAC
rnacentral:lncRNA from 1 species